GGGGGAGUACCGAAGUGGUCAAACGGGAUGCGCUGUAAACGCAUUGGCUCUGCCUUCGCAGGUUCGAAUCCUGCUCCCCCCA
rnacentral:tRNA from 1 species